UACGUAGGGGGCAAACGUUGUCCGGAUUUAUUGGGCGUAAAGAGCGUGUAGGCGGCCUGAAAGGUCAGCUGUGAAAACUCGAGGCUCAACCUCGAGACGUCGGUUGAAACCGUACGGCUAGAGUCCGGAAGAGGAGAGUGGAAUUCCCGGUGUAGCGGUGAAAUGCGCAGAUAUCGGGAAGAACACCCGUGGCGAAGGCGGCUCUCUGGGACGGUACUGACGCUGAGACGCGAAAGCGUGGGGAGCGAACAGG
rnacentral:rRNA from 1 species